AUAUAUUAUUUUAAUUUUAGAGUUUGGCUUCCUUUUAACAAACUCCACCAAAUCGAAACAUAGUCAUUACUAGAAUACAUUGUAUUUCAAUACAAAUUUUAGAAGUCACAGUGUACUCUAUUUCAGAAUGAAUGAAAUAUAUCAUAUAUUUUUUUAGCAUCUUACCACUCCGGUGCCUCCCAACAACUAUUUCCAUCUAACUAUUUAAAGUAAGAUCCUUGUGGCAGAUGGUACCCACCAGAUUUAUCCGAUGAAACGCUUAAGAUAUAUUCAAGCGGCAAUACAUUGCACAGAUACACCAAAUUAGUCAACCGAAAUCAAUUGCAUCAGUGUAUUUUGUACAAUAGUAAGGAAGCAACAUGGAUAAUCAGUGUGUUCUGUAGGGAACUGCUCCAAUGGAUUGAAAGCACUUCGGCACUUCAUCAAUGGAUCCCUUCCCUACAUGCACCAGCAUGCACUAGCUUGACAGCAUCUGAAAAAACAUGGAUGUUCAAUUUACAGGCAAAAACAACAUACUAAUAAACUAUAAAAAAGCAAGUCACCACUCAUCUACAGCACUACUGAUCUAGAGUAAUAUAUAUCACAAUGACCUUUCUGCGUAUACGAAACAUUUAGACAACAAAAAGCAAAAUGAGCUUUCUUUUACAAGUCACAUGUCUGAAUCUAGCAGAUAUAUAUCUUACUUGGAAGCACAUAAAUUUGAUAAUCUUAACCAAUUUCAUCCACACUACCGGUAACUAUCCACAUAUAAGGUUGCUAAAACAGACACUGCAUAUACGUAUGUUGCAGGAAAAAGCAUCUUCAUUAUUGCAAGUCAGUUAUUGUUCAAGGACAUAGAUAUCUUCUCUCAAUAAUGUAGUCUUUUUCGUACAAAAUCUUUCAUCCUAUCAUAUAUAAAACAAAGCUAUUAAUUUUCUUUCUCCAUUGUGCUUUUUGUUCUUCUAAAUGUAUAAAAGAACUGUCAGGCUGUAUAAUGAACAAAUAAAUUAUCAGUAACAACAACAAAAGAAACACCGGAAAACCAUGUUCUAUAUUUUUUAACCUUCUUCCCCAUCAGCAUAUGUAGCAAGAAAAAAUUCAGUUCCCAUUCACUUCAUAGAGCUUGCUCAUGGAGCUACUAUUUCCCAUUCAAUUAUAGAACAACCAUAGACUACUCUCACAAGUUUUUACCAUGAGGGAAUCACCAGCGCUAGAUCCAGGCAUCAAGAGAGCCGCCAACGCGUCGUACUUCACCCCCGUCUGCACUCAUUUCUUGCUGUAACGGCACCAAGACCUUGUGCUCCCCAUCCUAGUAACAUGUUGUUUUGCUCCUUCAGGCCUCCGCGCUGGCGCGUCAUCCUACAACUGCGAGCAGGGGAAGAGAUUGACGCAAAGGAAACGAGAGAUGGUGGCGGGGAGGGUGAAAGAUCCUAAUAUGGCUAGAGGGGGGGGGGGUGAAUAGCCUAUUUAAAAAUUCUACAAACUCACUAGAGCAAGAGGUUAGUAAAUAACAAAGCGAAGCUUUUUGCUCUAGCUCUAAUGGGGUGUUUGCAAGCCACCUAUCCAACAAUUCUAGUUGAUAUAAUCACUAGGCACACAAGAGCUAUGUCACUACUUACACUAGAAAGCUACCUAAAGUUUCUAUACAAGUAAGUAAGCUACUCUAGUUUGCGGGAAUGUAAAAGAGAUGGUUUGAACUUUAUACCGCCGCGUAGAGGGGAUGAACCAAUCAAUAAUAUGAAGUCCAAUCACCGGGAGAAAUCCAAUGAACAAUCACAAUGGAGACACACAAUUUUUCUCCCGAGGUUCACGUGCUUGCCGGCACGCUACGUCCCCGUUGUGUCAACCAACACUUGGUGGUUCGGUGGCUAAGAGGUGUAGCACGAACCUCGUCCUCACUAGGACACCACAAGAACCUACCCACAAGUGAGGUAGCUCAAUGACACGAGCAAUCCACUAAUGUUGCCUUUGGCUCUCCGCCGAGGUAGGCACAAACCUCUCACAAUCAUCGGGAGAUGGCCACGAACAAUCACCAACUCGUGCCAAUCCUCCGCUGCUCCAAGCCGUCUAGGUGGCGGCAACCACCAAGAGUAACAAGAAAAACCGCAGCUAGAACGAUCCCCAAGUGCCACUAGAUGCAAUCACUCAAGCAAAUGCACUUGGAAUCACUCCCAAUCUCACAAAGAUGUAUAAUCUAUGAAGGAGAUGAGUGGGAGGUGUUUGCUUAGGCUCACAAGGAUGUCAAGUAUGUUAGAAUACCAAGAGAGUGAGCCCCAAGCCGGCCAAACACGUAUUUAUAGACCCCUCAAACAAAUAGAGCCGUUGGCUCUCUCACUGGGUCUAACUCGGGGUCACCGGACGCUCUUAAAGGGGCACCGGACGCUCAACACCUGCGUCCGGUGCUCCAACGUCAGCCGCGAGUCAGAGUCUAACGGUAACCUGCAGAGCACCGGACGCGUCCGGUGCACACCGGACUCAUGCGCAGAGAGCUCUGCAAACUCGCACGGUCACCGGACGCAAGCCACCGGACGCACCCUGAGCGUCCGGUGCUCACCGGACCCACGCGCAGAGAGGGUCGCAAAAUGCCCGCACACUGGACGCUAACCACCGGACGCUCAAGCCAGCGUCCGGUGCCUAUCGUCCGGUGCCUUACCCUAGCUGGGCCAGGCACUGUGUGCACCGGACGCUCAGACGCAGCGUCCGGUGCUCCAGAAGCCAGCGUCCGGUGAGUGUUUUCUCAGCGAGAAACACUCCCGCGACUUCUCCAAAUUUCCCACCGGCGCAAUAGAAAAUAUGCACUUCAUUUUCUCGAAAAGCGCCGAAUCCCGAGAGAGGAACCCAUCCCCUCUCUACCCUUGAAACUCCACCUCCUUCUCAAAGUGUGCCAACACCACAACGUGUGUACCAACGAGCGUGCACGUGUGUUAGCAUUUUCACAAUCAUUUUCUUUGAAGGAGUUAAGUUAGCUCACUAGGUUCUAAAUGCAUGCACAUGAACAAU
rnacentral:lncRNA from 1 species